rnacentral:lncRNA from 1 species
GGACACGUUAGCCUGAUUGUGGUCAACAUGUAAUGUAAAUAAUAUGAACAUGUAAAAACAGAGCAAAAUGUCAAGUGGUACAUCUUAGGUAUACACAGUUUCUAUUUGGUUAAUUAUACUCCAAUAAAGCUGGGAAAAGAACAGUUUCACAAUUUGGAUCAGAGCUCAGAGGAGAGGUCAGAGCUGGAGGGUUCAAGAACUUGUUAAUUUACCCAAGUUGGCCUUGAAUUUGCUGCCAUCCUGCCUUAGCCUCCAGGAGUGCUGAGAUUACAGGUAUGCACCACGACAUCUGGCUAGGAGGCUAUAUUUUUGAAUCCACUCUUACACACAGACUGUGGGCCCUGAAGGGACAAGACAUUAGACCAAGUUCCUAGGCUUGACCCAGAGGACUUAGAGAAGAGGAGAAGGUAUGAACUGCUGACAGCCGAUAUUCCUUGUGUCACCAGCCAGCAUGAAGUCUUGUCUGCAUCGUGACAUAUUGUUACAGAGAAGAAAAUUUGUUCAACACUGGAGACAAGAGUUCUACGAUUUUUGUCAAGCAGAGAGGGAGAACUUGAUGAUCACACAGUCCUGCUCAAGCCAAGUGUAUGUGCAAAGUACAGACAUGUUCACGUGAAGACGGGCUACUUCUCUCUUCCCUAUUUCUUUUUGGGUGUUAUAGUUUGUCAUUUGUCAUCAAAAUCAGCCUUUUAUCUCUGUGGUAAACUUGAUAGCAUGUGAUUUUACAUGUCCUUGGGACAGUUGUGCAUUUUUCUGGCAGUUUCUAAUUUUCCUUUUCAUCUUAUUUUGUGUUUUUAUUUCAACUUUGCUUUCAUAGCCUGUGCACUGUAUGGACCUUUGGAUGUUCUUACUUUCAACAAUGCAAGGAUGUCACAGCAUCACUGUAUGAAGAACAAUGUACUUCCUUUUUUUUUUUUUUUGUUUGUUUGUCUGUUUUUGAUACUGGGGAUCAAACUUGGGUCUUUGCGCUUGCGAGGCAGGCAGCAGAACCACUGAGGUAAAUCCCCGGCCCUUGAACAAUGUAUUUUCUAAGCUCCCUUCCUUAGCAUGGCAUUUUAAAAAUUGAGUUUAUUGGUACAUUUUAGAUAUACAUAUGAUCACAUUCAUCAUAGGGAAUUUGUAUCUGUACAUGAUAUAUUUUGCUUCGUAUUUUUUCCCGUUCCCCUUCCCUCCCUUCAACUCCUCCACCCCUCCUUAUUUACAGAAGCUUUGUUUCCAUUGUUUUCUUCUUUUUUCAUUUUUUCUUUCCCUUCUUUACUUUUCCCUGCCCCCUCCCUAGUUCCCCUUCCCCUUUGCCCCUUUUCUCCCUAUUUCACCAUAUCUAUUAUACAUGUCAGUCCUCGUUUAUGCUUUCAGUUUCUCACACCAGAGAAACAAUGCAGUAUUUACACAUGUGUGUCCUAUUUAUUUCACUUAAGAGUAUGUAUGACCUCAUGUUGGAUCUAUUUACAUAUAAUUGCCUGAAGUUUAUCUUUCUUUAUGGCUAAGUAGUACUGAGUAGCAUGGCAUUUUUUACAACAUCAAAAGCAGUCUUUUGAGAAAUGUUAGAUCAACCAAUUAAAAUUUUACCCCCAAAGGAUUCUUGUCCCAGUAUCUUUUAUUUUACUUUCUAUUCCCAUGGAAAUAAAAUUUACUUCCUUUUUAAAAUGUGGUAUUUUUCUCAUUACUUAAUAUUUAUUUAAUGAUACUAUUCUCCCCACUGGAUGAAUA